AUUGAACGCUGGUGGAAUGCUUUACACAUGCAAGUCGAACGGCAGCACGGACUUCGGUCUGGUGGCGAGUGGCGAACGGGUGAGUAAUACAUCGGAACGUGCCCAGUCGUGGGGGAUAACGUAGCGAAAGCUACGCUAAUACCGCAUACGAUCUAAGGAUGAAAGCGGGGGAUCGCAAGACCUCGCGCGACUGGAGCGGCCGAUGGCAGAUUAGGUAGUUGGUAGGGUAAAGGCCUACCAAGCCGACGAUCUGUAGCUGGUCUGAGAGGAUGUUCAGCCACACUGGGACUGAGACACGGCCCAGACUCCUGCGGGAGGCAGCAGUGGGGAAUUUUGGACAAUGGGCGCAAGGCUGAUCCAGCCAUUCCGCGUGCAGGAUGAAGGCCUUCGGGUUGUAAACUGCUGUUGUACAGAACGAAAAGGCUCUGGUUAAUACCCGGGGCUCAUGACGGUACUGUAAGAAUAAGCACCGGCUAACUACGUGCCAGCCGCCGCCGUAA
rnacentral:rRNA from 1 species